rnacentral:rRNA from 1 species
AUGGACCCCCGCCACCUCAGCGUCGGCGUAACCCCCGGCAGCGGCGGGAGUGGCGGCCAGUCAGUGGACGCGUCAGCGAGGCGCCGCCGCCGCAUGUCGGCCCCGUUGACAGGCACCCGCCUCAUGCUGGCCUUCAACGCUGCUGCUGGUGACGGUUAUGGCGGGAGGUCGUCCUCCUCGUCGUCGUCGUCUUCCGGAGGGUUGGACCUCUCGUUAGAUGAACCGCACCCCCGCUACAGCCAACACCGUGUCUACCCCGAGUUCUCUCCGAUGUCGAAUAUGGGGCGCCUCCUCUUUCAUGGCUCUCCACUAGGGUCGCCUACGACCGACGACGAUGUCCUCGUCAUGGAUGGUUACCUCGUCGCCGACGGCUUCAGCCCUGGCCCCAAGCGCUACGCCUCCUUCACCGACCUACGCUUGGUCCACACCAACUCCCCUGGCUCGGGCGGCAGCGGUCGCCACGGCUCCAGUCUCCAGUUUUCAUAUGGGAAGGAGUCUUGUGUGGCGCGAGUGAUGAAUCCAAGACAUUCUGAGGUGGAACUUCAGCGCGGGCGACCAGUGCAGAGUGCCGGUCCCAACAUGCAGGCGAGCCCCAGAACCUAUCACCCAUCGUUGCAGGCAGCCGGCGUUGCGACCAUACCCAUGAGGCCACCAGCCGCUCCGUACUUGACGCCUACGAGAGCCGCCACCACCACCUCCGCCACCGCCACUCCUGCGAGAGCGCAGGCCGGCUUCUCGUGGACACCAAAGCGGCCCGAAUUGAAGCCGCCGUCGGUGCAACGGGCGACGUUUGCGUGGCCGCCGACCGAGGAGGAGAACGCGUCCAUCAGCCAAUGCCUGUACGGCCCCCGUGGCGCCCCUCAGCGAAGGCUGCCUGUGUUUGUGAGCAUCUGCCCAGCGUGA